rnacentral:rRNA from 1 species
UGGGGGAAACCCUGACGCAGCAACGCCGCGUGGAGGAUGAAGUCCUUCGGGACGUAAACUCCUUUCGAUCGGGACGAUUAUGACGGUACCGGAAGAAGAAGCCCCGGCUAACUUCGUGCCAGCAGCCGCGGUAAUACGAGGGGGGCGAGCGUUGUUCGGAAUUAUUGGGCGUAAAGGGUGCGUAGGCGGUUUGGUAAGUCUGAUGUGAAAUCUAUGGGCUCAACUCAUAGUCUGCAUCGGAAACUGCCGGGCUGGAGUGUGGGAGAGGUGAGUGGAAUUUCCGGUGUAGCGGUGAAAUGCGUAGAUAUCGGAAGGAACACCUGUGGCGAAAGCGGCUCACUGGACCACAACUGACGCUGAUGCACGAAAGCUAGGGGAGCAAACAGGAUUAGAUACCCUGGUAGUCCUAGCCCUAAACGAUGACUGCUUGGUGUGACGGGUACCCAAUCCCGCCGUGCCGUAGCUAACGCGUUAAGCAGUCCGCCUGGGGAGUAC